AUACUACACACCAAGCAGUACAGACCUGACAUGAUGAUACUACAGGUACCACACCAAGCAGUACAGACCUGACAUGAUGAUACUACAGGUACCACACCAAGCAGUACAGACCUGACAUGAUGAUACUACAGGUACCACACCAAGCAGUACAGACCUGACAUGAUGAUACUACAGGUACCACACCAAGCAGUACAGACCUGCCAUGAUGAUACUACAGGUACCACACCAAGCAGUACAGACCUGACAUGAUGAUACUACAGGUACCACACCAAGCAGUACAGACCUGACAUGAUGAUACUACAGGUACCACACCAAGCAGUACAGACCUGACAUGAUGAUACUACAGGUACCACACCAAGCAGUACAGACCUGACAUGAUGAUACUACAGGUACCACACCAAGCAGUACAGACCUGCCAUGAUGAUACUACAGGUACCACACCAAGCAGUACAGACCUGACAUGAUGAUACUACAGGUACCACACCAAGCAGUACAGACCUGCCAUGAUGAUACUACAGGUACCACACCAAGCAGUACAGACCUGACAUGAUGAUACUACAGGUACCACACCAAGCAGUACAGACCUGACAUGAUGAUACUACAGGGACCA